rnacentral:rRNA from 1 species
UGCAGUCGAACGGUAACAGAACUAGCUUGCUAGUUGCUGACGAGUGGCGGACGGGUGAGUAAUACUUAGGGAUCUGCCUCUGUGUGGGGGAUAACUAUUGGAAACGAUAGCUAAUACCGCAUAACGUCUACGGACCAAAGAGGGCUUCGGCUCUCGCGCAGAGAGGAACCUAAGCGAGAUUAGCUUGUUGGUGAGGUAAAGGCUCACCAAGGCGACGAUCUCUAGCUGUUCUGAGAGGAAGAUCAGCCACACUGGAACUGAGACACGGUCCAGACUCCUACGGGAGGCAGCAGUGGGGAAUAUUGCACAAUGGGGGCAACCCUGAUGCAGCCAUGCCGCGUGUGUGAAGAAGGCCUUCGGGUUGUAAAGCACUUUCAGUUGUGAGGAAAGGUUAGUAGUUAAUACCUGCUAGCUGUGACGUUAACAACAGAAGAAGCACCGGCUAACUCCGUGCCAGCAGCCGCGGUAAUACGGAGGGUGCGAGCGUUAAUCGGAAUUACUGGGCGUAAAGCGCACGCAGGCGGUCUGUUAAGCUAGAUGUGAAAGCCCCGCGCUCAACGUGGGAGGGUCAUUUAGAACUGGCAGACUAGAGUCU